rnacentral:lncRNA from 1 species
CCGGGUGACUAGUUGUACAUUUUAAAGUAACUAAAAGAAGCCGGGCGCUGUGGCUCACACCUGUAAUCCCAGCACUUUGGGAGGCUGAGAUGGGGGACUGCUUGAGGCCAAGAGUUCUGUACAAGCCUGGUCAACAUGGCAGAGACUAUCUCUAUUAAAAAGAAAAAAAAUAACGAAAAGGGUGUAAUUGACCAGUUGCGGUGGCUCAUGCCUAUAAUCCCA